rnacentral:rRNA from 1 species
GAUGAACGCUGGCGGCGUGCCUAAUACAUGCAAGUCGAGCGAACGGACGAGAAGCUUGCUUCUCUGAUGUUAGCGGCGGACGGGUGAGUAACACGUGGAUAACCUACCUAUAAGACUGGGAUAACUUCGGGAAACCGUAGCUAAUACCGGAUAAUAUUUUGAACCGCAUGGUUCAAAAGUGAAAGACGGUCUUGCUGUCACUUAUAGAUGGAUCCGCGCUGCAUUAGCUAGUUGGUAAGGUAACGGCUUACCAAGGCAACGAUGCAUAGCCGACCUGAGAGGGUGAUCGGCCACACUGGAACUGAGACAAGGUCCAGACUCCUAAGGGAGGCAGCAGUAGGGAAUCUUCCGCAAUGGGCGAAAGCCUGACGGAGCAACGCCGCGUGAGUGAUGAAGGUCUUCGGAUCGUAAAACUCUGUUAUUAGGGAAGAACAUAUGUGUAAGUAACUGUGCACAUCUUGACGGUACCUAAUCAGAAAGCCACGGCUAACUACGUG